GAUGGACGCUGGCGGCGUGCUUAACACAUGCAAGUCGAACGAGAAAUGUAGACGGAAACCUUCGGGCGGAAGCCUUCAUUUCGAGUGGCGGACGGGUGAGUAACGCGUGGGUAACCUGCCUCAUACAGGGGGAUAACAGUUGGAAACGACUGUUAAUACCGCAUAAGACCACAGCAUCGCAUGAUGCGGGGGUAAAAACUCCGGUGGUAUGAGAUGGACCCGCGUUCGAUUAGCCAGUUGGCGGGGUAACGGCCCACCAAAGCGACGAUCGAUAGCCGAUCUGAGAGGAUGACCGGCCACAUUGGGACUGAGACACGGCCCCAACUCCUACGGGAGGCAGCAGUGGGGAAUAUUGCACAAUGGGGGAAACCCUGAUGCAGCGACGCCGCGUGAGUGAAGAAGUACUUCGGUAUGUAAAGCUCUAUCAGCAGGGAAGAAAAUGACGGUACCUGAGUAAGAAGCCCCGGCUAACUACGUG
rnacentral:rRNA from 1 species